UACGGAGGGUGCGAGCGUUAAUCGGAAUUACUGGGCGUAAAGCGCGCGUAGGCGGCUAUUUAAGUGGGAUGUGAAGGCCCUGGGCUCAACCUGGGAACUGCAUCCCAAACUGAAUAGCUAGAGUGUGUCAGAGGGUACUGGAAUUUCCUGUGUAGCGGUGAAAUGCGUAGAUAUAGGAAGGAACACCAGUGGCGAAGGCGAGUACCUGGGAUAACACUGACGCUGAGGUACGAAAGCGUGGGUAGCAAACAGG
rnacentral:rRNA from 1 species